UCCCAGGUGGUCUAGUGGCUGAAGGUGCCGCGCUCUCUCUGCCGUCUCCCGGGUUCAAUUCCCGGGCAGGGAA